ensembl:lincRNA
GCCAAAGUGGGCGGAUCACCUGAGCUCAGGAGUUGGAGACCAGCCUGGCCAACAUGGUAAAACCCUGUCUCUACUAAACAGACAAAAAAUUUGUUGGGCAUGGCGGUGCAUGCCUAUAAUCCCAGCUACUCGGGAGGCUGAGGCAGGAGAACAGCUUGAACCCAGGAGGUGGAGGUUGCAGUGAGCCAGGAUCCCACCACUGCACUCCAGCCUGGGUGAUAGAGCGAGACUCCAUCUCAAAAAAAAGAAAAAAGAAAAAAAGAACUCCAGCAAAUAGAGAUUAAACAAGUAGAAGCAGAUAGAGAUUAAAGAAACAGAGCUGCUGGGGAUCAGAGGUGGAUGUGUGUGUGUGUUUUAUGGGAGGGGCUGUGGGUUAGUCCCCUGCCCUGCCCUCCUCACCUGGUCCAUCUUGUGGGCAUCCCCUAGGUGAGGCCAGAGGAGCUCCGUGCUGCUAGGAGAUCCAGGCAGAAACCUCCAGGAUUGGAAGCUCAGCCCAGCGGCUGGGAGGCUGUGGCACCUCCUGUCCACAUGGCAGGCCAGGCCGAGGUGGGCUGGCUACACAGUGGGGCUCCCCCCUCUCUGAUAAGGCCAAAUGGGGAGAAGGUGACAGAAGGGACGAAGAUGCCCCAACCUGGAACAAGUCGAUCAUUUUAAAAUUUCAUUGCUGAACCCAACAUAAUUUCAGACCUCAUAUCUGGCGAAUGCAUCAGUUCAUUGGAACACAAAAAUACACUAUCAAACAGACAAUCAAAUUUCAUGUAAAAUAAGCUUCAGCAUUAAAAUGGUUCCUGGUGUUUUAUGUGUGUGACUCGGUGGGCAGAUAUAUUUCUUGCUACUAGAGCAAGACUGAUUUGUGUGAAGGCUCCCGUCACCAAAUCACUCGGAAGGCUGGGAGAUAAAAUGUCGCUUAGGAUAAUGUAAUUGGCCUUAAG